UAAAUAAGACACUCGCGUAAAUACACCCCAGGGCCUCGGGACCAGCCCACCCUGCAUGCCGUGAGCACCAGAUGCGGGAGCGUGGGCGACAGGACUUCACUGCUCACUUUCCCACUUAAUGUCUCCUGGUCCCUCCAGGAAACCGUGCCCCUGACGCUCUCAGCUCAGCCCGUUCUCCCGCCCAUCACCCCGACAACCACGCUCAAAGGUGCAACUGUUCCCUGUGCAUCUCCCUGCACGCCCCUGCUGCCUCCUGUCCCAUCGAGGUGACCCCUGGAAUGGAGCGAGUGUGGAUCCAUGCCCCCACUGCCCGCUGGCCCAUCGAGGUGACCCCUGGAACAGAGCGAGUGUGGGUCCAUGCCCCCACUGCCCGCUGGCCCAUCGAGGUGACCCCUGGAACAGAGUGAGAGUGGGUCCAUCUGGGAACUACGGAAGCCAGCCUGCUGUGCCAGAGUAGGCCGCUGACUGGCUGAUAUCCUGUGCUUUGUGAGCCCUGAGGGAUGAAGCAACCAACCUAAGCCAGAUGGGGAAACUGAGGCUCAUGAAGAGCCAGAAGUUCCUCGGAGGAAAGGAGAGUGUCUUAUUUACCUGUGCACAUACACUGCUGCAGGGAUGGGAAGUGGGAAGGGGAGAAAAGGGACCCGGGAAACAGUCCCCACCGUUGAUCGUUACUGAGGGUGGACGCUGCGCCUGUUUCUCAUGUCCUAACGCGCUUCACCCUUACAGCCACCAGUCAAGAGCUAGUACUAUCACUUCCAAUUUACAAAUAAGAAAAUCAGAGCACAGAGAGGGUCAGUGCCCUGCCCAAGGGCACACAGCCACUAGGGGUGGAGCUGGGGUUAGGAGAAGCAGCACUGUGCGUGAGGGGGCUCUCGUAACCACCGAGCCACGCUGGAUGCCCAGGCGGUCAGAUGCCCUGUGACCUCACGACAGCCAUGGGAUUAGCAGGGGGUGGGAGAUGUGUGCCACACAGGCAUGAACCAGGACAUUCUGCUCUUCAUUAUUUAUUAUUAAAACAGGCUCACAGUAAAAGAAA